CACCGGCCCUGAAAUGCGUGUGGUGUGAUUGCAUGAGUCUAUAUGGAUGUGUAUUAUCAAAAGGACGAUUUAAUACUUCCUGGUCUUUCCUUGAGGGAAUCCAAAAUUGAUGGUUUUUGAGUGACACAUUUACGGUAAGAUUUCAAAUGAGGUGCCAUGGGACCAAACCAUAAUUUCCUUGUGAAUUGUUAAAUUCUUGUGCCAUACUUACAUUUGUAACUUGUAACAACCCAAUAAAAGUUGUUUAAAAACCAU